rnacentral:piRNA from 1 species
UACACAUCCCUCUGAAAGUGAGUCUUAUCC